rnacentral:rRNA from 1 species
AUGCAUUGGCUUUGCCCUUUGUUGAUUCAUGCAGCCAUCCUGUUUGAUAAAAUGUCGGCACCUGCAUCCAUUCCCUGUGGUUCCAAGAGUGUGCGAGGCAACGAUAACGGUGUCGACAGGCUCAGCAGCCUGCCCGACGAUCUGCUCCACCACGUGAUGUCCUUCCUGCCGACGCCGGAGGUCGUCCGCACAAGUCUUCUCUCACCAAGGUGGCGCAAUCUCUGGAGCUCUGCACCAUUUAUCCACAUCAACAACAAAGACUUCGUGGUUAAAACUGAUGUGGGCACUGCUUGCUUUGAUAACCACAAGCUGGAGAACUUCGUGGACCACUUACUGCUCUUGCGUGAUGGCACUGUUUCCUAG